CACCCUCAGAGAUCCCGAGCAACGCCAGCACGUUCUCGCUUAGCAGCAGGCUACCUCGCCAGG
rnacentral:tRNA from 1 species